AGACUUUGAUCCUGGCUCAGAGCGAACGCUGGCGGCGUGCCUAACACAUGCAAGUCGAACGUGAAAGUCCGCAAGGAUGAGUAAAGUGGCGUACGGGUGAGUAACACGUAGGUAAUCUACCGAAGAGUCUGGAAUAACCUGCCGAAAGGCGGGCUAAUACUGGAUAGAGCGACGGGAUCCGUAAUUGGGUCUUUCGGGAAAGGGAGGAAGCAAUUCCCCUUGCUCUUCGAUGAGCCUGCGUCUCAUUAGCUAGUUGGCGGGGUAAUGGCCCACCAAGGCUUUGAUGAGUAGCUGGUCUGAGAGGAUGAUCAGCCACACUGGAACUGAAACACGGUCCAGACUCCUACGGGAGGCAGCAGUGGGGAAUCUUGCGCAAUGGACGAAAGUCUGACGCAGCCACGCCGCGUGAGUGAAGAAGGUCUUCGGGUUGUAAAGCUCUGUCGGGCGGGACGAACAUCCAUGAGGUGAAUAGCCUCGUGGACUGACGGUACCGCCAAAGGAAGCACCGGCUAACUUCGUGCCAGCAGCCGCGGUAAUACGAGGGGUGCAAGCGUUGCUCGGAAUUACUUCCUACGGAGGCAGCCUAGGGAUCUUCCGCAAUGGAAAAGUCUGACGACACCGCCGCGUUGAGCAUGAAGCCUUCCAGGUCUAAAGCUCUGUUGUAAGGGAAAACAAUUCGAGUUAACUGCCGGGUACCUUGACGGGUACCUACCAGAAACCACGGCUAACUUCCUGCCCAUCAGCCGCGGUAAUA
rnacentral:rRNA from 1 species